rnacentral:rRNA from 1 species
UUCGGGAACUUGAGAGCGGCGUACGGGUGCGUAACACGUGUGCAACCUACCUUUAUCUGGGGGAUAGCCUUUCGAAAGGAAGAUUAAUACCACAUAAUAUAUUGAAUGGCAUCAUUUAAUAUUGAAAACUCCGGUGGAUAGAGAUGGGCACGCGCAAGAUUAGAUAGUUGGUGAGGUAACGGCUCACCAAGUCUGUGAUCUUUAGGGGUCCUGAGAGGGAGAUCCCCCACACUGGUACUGAGACACGGACCAGACUCCUACGGGAGGCAGCAGUGAGGAAUAUUGGACAAUGGGUGAAAGCCUGAUCCAGCCAUCCCGCGUGAAGGAUGACGGUCCUAUGGAUUGUAAACUUCUUUUGUACAGGGAUAAACCUACCCUCGUGAGGGUAGCUGAAGGUACUGUACGAAUAAGCACCGGCUAACUCCGUGCCAGCAGCCGCGGUAAUACGGAGGGUGCAAGCGUUAUCCGGAUUUAUUGGGUUUAAAGGGUCCGUAGGCGGACUUAUAAGUCAGUGGUGAAAGCCUGUCGCUUAACGAUAGAACUGCCAUUGAUACUGUAAGUCUUGAGUAUAUUUGAGGUAGCUGGAAUAAGUAGUGUAGCGGUGAAAUGCAUAGAUAUUACUUAGAACACCAAUUGCGAAGGCAGGUUACCAAGAUAUAACUGACGCUGAGGGACGAAAGCGU